CCGACUCUGAGGGAGACGCCAUCUUCGCCAUCUUCGCCAUUUGCCUGCUCUGAAGUUCAGACACUUCUGAAAUUUUUAAAUUUUUUUUUUUUCGGAGGGGAAACUAGGAAAGGAGAUACCAUGAGAUGCAAA